UCCCAGGUGGCUCAGAUGGUAAAGCAUCUGCCUGUAAUGCAGGAGACCUGGGUUUGAUCCCUGGGUCAGGAA
rnacentral:tRNA from 1 species